UGGCUCAGAGGUGAAAGUGUCUGCCUGCAAUGCAGGAGACCUGGGUUCGAUCCCUG
rfam:Ovis aries breed Texel chromosome 9, whole genome shotgun sequence.